rnacentral:piRNA from 1 species
GAUGGACUGGAGAGAUGGCUCAG